rnacentral:rRNA from 1 species
AGUGAACGCUGGCGGUAGGCCUAACACAUGCAAGUCGAACGGCAGCACAGUAAGAGCUUGCUCUUACGGGUGGCGAGUGGCGGACGAGUGAGGAAUACAUCGGAAUCUACUUUUUCGUGGGGGAUAACGUAGGGAAACUUACGCUAAUACCGCAUACGACCUACGGGUGAAAGCAGGGGAUCUUCGGACCUUGCGCGAUUGAAUGAGCCGAUGUCGGAUUAGCUAGUUGGCGGGGUAAAGGCCCACCAAGGCGACGAUCCGUAGCUGGUCUGAGAGGAUGAUCAGCCACACUGGAACUGAGACACGGUCCAGACUCCUACGGGAGGCAGCAGUGGGGAAUAUUGGACAAUGGGCGCAAGCCUGAUCCAGCCAUACCGCGUGGGUGAAGAAGGCCUUCGGGUUGUAAAGCCCUUUUGUUGGGAAAGAAAAGCAGCAGGUUAAUACCCCGCUGUUCUGACGGUACCCAAAGAUUAAGCACCGGCUAACUUCGUG